rnacentral:rRNA from 2 species
ACACCAGCCCCUCGAGUGGUGGGGAUGAUUAUUUGGCCUAAAGCGUCCGUAGCCGGCCGGGUAAGUUUCCCGUUAAAUCCAGCGUCUCAAGCGUUGGACUGCGGGAAAUACUGCCCGGCUAGAGAGUGGGAGAGGUGUACGGUAUUCUGGGGGUAGGGGCGAAAUCCUUUGAUCCCCGGAGGACCACCAGUGGCGAAGGCUGUACACUAGAACACGUCUGACGGUCAGGGACGAAAGCUGGGGUAGCGAACCGGAUUAGAUACCCGGGUAGUCCCAGCUGUAAACGAUGCAUGCUAGGUGUUGGGUUGGCCACGAGCCACCCCAGUGCCGCAGGGAAGCCGUUAAGCAUGCCGCCUGGGAAGUACGAUCGCAAGAUUGAA